CCUCUAUGUAUCCAGUUGACGUCUCUCACGCUCCCCGCCCCGCGCGGCGGCUAUUUAAGUUGUUGCAGUUAAAAAGCUCGUAGUUGGAUUUCGGGUGGGUUUCAGCGGUCCGCCUAUGGUGAGUACUGCUGUGGCCUUCCUUACUGUCGGGGACCUGCUUCUGGGCUUCAUUGUCCGGGACAGGGAUUCGGCAUGGUUACUUUGAGUAAAUUGGAGUGUUCAAAGCAGGCUUACGCCGUGAAUAUUUUAGCAUGGAAUAACAUGAUAGGACUCUGCCCUAUUCUGUUGGCCUGUAGGAGUGGAGUAAUGAUUAAGAGGAACAGUCGGGGGCAUUCGUAUUUCAUUGUCAGAGGUGAAAUUCUUGGAUUUAUGAAAGACGAACUACUGCGAAAGCAUUUGCCAAGGAUGUUUUCAUUAAUCAAGAACGAAAGUUGGGGGCUCGAAGACGAUCACAUACCGGCGUAGGCGAGGCG
rnacentral:rRNA from 1 species